AUUGAACGCUGGCGGAAUGCUUUACACAUGCAAGUCGAACGGCAGCACGGGGGCAGCCCUGGUGGCGAGUGGCGAACGGGUGAGUAAUACAUCGGAACGUGCCCGGUCGUGGGGGAUAACGUAGCGUAAGUUACGCUAAUACCGCAUACGAUCUGAGGAUGAAAGCGGGGGACCUUCGGGCCUCGCGCGAUCGGAGCGGCCGAUGUCAGAUUAGGUAGUUGGUGGGGUAAAGGCCUACCAAGCCGACGAUCUGUAGCUGGUCUGAGAGGACGACCAGCCACACUGGGACUGAGACACGGCCCAGACUCCUACGGGAGGCAGCAGUGGGGAAUUUUGGACAAUGGGCGCAAGCCUGAUCCAGCCAUUCCGCGUGCAGGACGAAGGCCUUCGGGUUGUAAACUGCUUUUGUACGGAACGAAAAGGCUCUGGCUAAUACCUGGGGCUCAUGACGGUACCGUAAGAAUAAGCACCGGCUAACUACGUG
rnacentral:rRNA from 1 species